rnacentral:rRNA from 1 species
AUUGAACGCUGGCGGCAGGCCUAACACAUGCAAGUCGAGCGGAUGAAGGGAGCUUGCUCCUGGAUUCAGCGGCGGACGGGUGAGGAAUGCCUAGGAAUCUGCCUGGUAGUGGGGGAUAACGUUCGGAAACGGGCGCUAAUACCGCAUACGUCCUGAGGGAGGAAGUGGGGGAUCUUCGGACCUCAGGCUAUCAGAUGAGCGUAGGCCGGAUUAGCUAGUUGGUGGGGUAAAGGCCUACCAAGGCGACGAUCCGUAACUGGUCUGAGAGGAUGAUCAGUCACACUGGAACUGAGACACGGUCCAGACUCCUACGGGAGGCAGCAGUGGGGAAUAUUGGACAAUGGGCGAAAGCCUGAUCCAGCCAUGCCGCGUGUGUGAAGAAGGUCUUCGGAUUGUAAAGCACUUUAAGUUGGGAGGAAGGGCAGUACGUUAAUACCUUGCUGUUUUGACGUUACCAACAGAAUAAGCACCGGCUAACUUCGUG